AGGGUUUGAUCAUGGCUCAGGAUGAACGCUAGCGAUGUGCCUAAUACAUGCAAGUCGAACGUGAAAUUUAUUUUGCGUGGCGAACGGGUGAGUAACACGUAUUUAAUUUACCUCUAUGUGGGGGAUAACCGAUAGAAAUGUUGGAUAAUACCGCAUAUGUUUUUUUAACACAUGUUAAAAAAAUGAAAGGAUCGUUUUGGUCCGCAUAGAAAUAAGAAUGCGGCGUAUUAGUUAGUUGGGGAGGUAAUGGCUCACCAAGACAAUGAUGCGUAGCUGGUCUGAGAGGAAUCGUAAACGCGCCCACACACUUGGGAGCUGAGGAAUACGGCCCAAACUUCUAACGGAAGGCAGCCAGUAGGGAAUAUUCCACAACGGACGAAAGUUCUGAUGGAGCGACAUCGCGUGAUCGAUGAAGGCCUAAGGGUUGUAAAGAUCUUUUGUAAAUCAGGAAAAUUUAUUUUGAAAAGAAAUGAACUUGACAUUAGUUUACGAAUAAGUCACGGCUAACUACGUGCCAGCAGUCGCGGUAAUACGUAGGUGGCAAGCGUUAUCCGGAAAUAUUGGGUGUAAAGCGUGUGCAGAUGGUUUAAUAAGUUUAAGGUUAAAGGUAAGUGCUCAACACUUGUUCGCCUUAAAAACUGUUUUACUAGAGUAUAGGAGAGGUUACGGGAAUUCCAUGUGUAACGGUGGAAUGUGUAGAUAUAUGGAGGAACACCAUUAGCGAAGGCGCGUAACUGGAAUAUCACUGACAUUCAGACACGAAAGCGUAGGGGGCGAAUAGGAUUAGAUACCCUAGUAGUCUACGCUGUAAACGAUGACGUUAAACGUUGGAAUUAAUUCAGCGUUAUAGUUAACACAUUAAACGUCCCACGCUGGGUAGUACGUUCGCAAGAAUAAAACUUCAAAGGGAAUUUGACCGGGACCCGCACAAAGCGGUGGAGCAUGUGGUUUAAUUUCGAAGCAACGCCGAAGAACCUUACCAAGGCUUGACAUUACUUUGCAAAUUUAUGGAAACAUAAAAGAGGUUAUCAAGCUAACAGGUGGUGGGCAUGGUUGUUCGUCAGUUCCGUGUCGUGAGAUGUCAGGUUAAGGCCCUUGACGAACGAAAACCUAUGUUUUUAGUUCGAUAACAUGUAGCUUGAUAACUUCUAAAAAGACUCGCCAUUUGGAAAGAUAGAGGAAGGAAAGGAUAACGUCAAAUCAUCAUGCCCCUUAUAGCUCUGGGGGCUACACACGUGCUACAAUGUGCUACCAAUACAAAGAGUUACAAUACUGCGAAGUGGAGUUAAUCUCAAAAGUUUGUCUCAAUACGGAUUGAAAGCUGCAAUUCGCUUUCAUGAAGACGGAAUCGCUAGUAAUCGCAGAUCAGCAAUGCUGCGGUGAAUACGUUCUCGGGUCUUGUACACACCGCCCGUCACACCACGAAAAUUGGAGGUACUUAAAGUCAAUGAAUUAACUAAUUUUGAUUUAUCAUUUUUGGAGAUAAUUGCCUAGAGUAAAUUCAGUGAUUGGGGUGAAGUCGUAACAAGGUAACC
rnacentral:rRNA from 1 species